rnacentral:rRNA from 1 species
UGGGGGAUAUUGCACAAUGGGCGAAAGCCUGAUGCAGCGACGCCGCGUGGGGGAUGAAGGCCUUCGGGUUGUAAACUUCUUUUGCUCUGAACAAGGCGCACCAUGGGGUGUGUUGAGUGUAGGGGUUGAUUAGCGCCGGCUAACUACGUGCCAGCAGCCGCGGUAAUACGUAGGGCGCGAGCGUUGUCCGGAAUUAUUGGGCGUAAAGGGCUUGUAGGUGGCUGGUUGCGUCUGUCGUGAAAGCUCAUGGCUUAACUGUGGGUGUGCGGUGGGUACGGGCUGGCUGGAGUGCAGUAGGGGAGGCUGGAAUUCCUGGUGUAGCGGUGGAAUGCGCAGAUAUCAGGAGGAAUACCGGUGGCGAAGGCGGGUCUCUGGGCUGUUACUGACACUGAGGAGCGAAAGCAUGGGGAGCGAACAGG